AGCGAAUAUCACUAUCUAUGUGUGCAGCCGCAGGCCCCUGGCUCUCUGUUACCGCAGAGGGGACCCAGCACACUGCUUCUACUCUUCUCUUCUCCUCUCUUCCAAUAACUCUCGCGAGACCCGUGGCCUUCUGAGCGUUGCCAAGGGUUACCAUGACAACGCUCCGCGCGGCACGCAGGCCGCGGGUCUCACAAGUUAUUGGAUGAGAGGAGACGAGUAGAAGCAGUGUGCUGGGCCCCCUCUGGGGCAAAAACAAGUGUUGCAUUAACAAGUGUUGCAUUUAUAAUUUUGUCCAGUGUAUAUAUGUGAAAAAAACAAGCACGC